rnacentral:tRNA from 1 species
GUCCCGAUAGUAUAAAAAUUACCUUGGUCUUGUAAACCAAAAAUGAAGAAUCAACUAUCUUCUCAGGACA